rnacentral:lncRNA from 1 species
GACGGCCCAGAUUAAAUCAAAAUGGACGGCUGAUAUCAAAAGGCAAAAGGGUAUAAAUAAGACCCCCACACCAGACCCCAAACCCUAGCCGCCUGCCCUCGCCGGAGAAGACGAACUAGAAGCCGGCCGCCGCCACCCGCCGCCGCACCGGAGGGAUUUCCGACCACCGAUCGAGGUAAAUUUCAUACCCCCAACUCGUUUUUCCACGCUGAUUUCUCCAGUGGCCAAAUCGGAGCCAAAAUCCUGGCCAAACGGCCGGAAAACACGGCCGAAAGCCAGCGGCGCCGCCGCGCCCCUUCUCAGUUUUUGCCUCCGAUGAGGCCCUUUCCGGCCUCCGUUUAAUGCAAUUUUUAUAUCACCGUGAUCACCAUUCUUUUCUCUACAGGUUGAUCGGAGCCGAAUCACCAAAACA